GCUUAUGGCCAUAUCACGUUGAAAACAACGGUUCUCGUCCGAUCACCGAAGUUAAGCAACAUCGAGACUAGUGAGCACUUAGAUGGGUGACCGCUUGGGAAACCUAGGUGCUGUAAGCG
rfam:Octopus bimaculoides Scaffold23346_contig_55, whole genome shotgun sequence.